UAAAAGAAAAGGAAAUGAAAACGAAAACAGAGAAGAAACAGGGGAGAAAGAAGAAAGAAAAGGGGAAAUAGGGUUUAUGAAGCUUGGAGUUAAUUGCCAACAAAGAACCUGAAGCAUCAGCAUCGAAAGGAAAGGAGAAAGUCAUCGAGGACUAAAAUGGGAGAAUUACGCGUACGGUUGUCUCCGUGCGCAGGUUAGUAGAAGUCAAGUAUUCCGGCUCAGCAUCCAGAACAAUCCCGACUCCAACACAAAUUUGGUGAUGUAUAUUUUUCUUUUGGGUAAAGGUGGCAUGUACAUAGGUGUUGUUUAGUCACUUGAAUAUGUAUAUUACUUUGGGUAGUGAAUGAUGAAUUAUAAAAUUUAGAUGGUUAAAUGAAAUGGAAAGAAAAGUACAUGAUAUUUUGACACAUGAACAUUAAGUUGUUAAAUGAAUGAAGUUUUUAAUCAAUUUUGAAUGAUGCUA